ensembl:miRNA MIR3121 microRNA 3121
AAAUGGUUAUGUCCUUUGCCUAUUCUAUUUAAGACACCCUGUACCUUAAAUAGAGUAGGCAAAGGACAGAAACAUUU